UUGCAUAUCAAAAAGCGGAGGAAAAGUAACCAACAGGGAUUGCCUUAGUAGCGGCGAGUGAAGCGGCAAAAGCUCAAAUUUGAAAUCUGGCUCUUUCAGAGUCCGAGUUGUAAUUUGAAGAAGGUAUCUUUGGGUCUGGCUCUUGUCUAUGUUUCUUGGAACAGAACGUCACAGAGGGUGAGAAUCCCGUGCGAUGAGAUGAUCCAGGCCUAUGUAAAGUUCCUUCGAAGAGUCGAGUUGUUUGGGAAUGCAGCUCUAAGUGGGUGGUAAAUUCCAUCUAAAGCUAAAUAUUGGCGAGAGACCGAUAGCGAACAAGUACAGUGAUGGAAAGAUGAAAAGAACUUUGAAAAGAGAGUGAAAAAGUACGUGAAAUUGUUGAAAGGGAAGGGCUUGAGAUCAGACUUGGUAUUUUGUAUGUUACUUCUUCGGGGGUGGCCUCUACAGUUUAUCGGGCCAGCAUCAGUUUGGGCGGUAGGAGAAUUGCGUUGGAAUGUGGCACGGCUUCGGUUGUGUGUUAUAGCCUUCGUCGAUACUGCCAGCCUAGACUGAGGACUGCGGUUUAUACCUAGGAUGUUGGCAUAAUGAUCUUAAGUCGCCCGUCUUGAAACACGGACCC
rnacentral:rRNA from 1 species